rnacentral:tRNA from 1 species
UCGGGAUAGCUCAGAUGGUAG